rnacentral:rRNA from 1 species
UACGUAGGGGGCGAGCGUUAUCCGGAUUUACUGGGCGUAAAGCGCGUUAAGGCGGUUGGCAAAGUUGGUUGUGAAAUUUCAGGGCUCAACCCUGAAACUGCGUCCAAUACUGGUCGACUUGAGUGUGAGAGAGGAAGGUGGAAUUCCCGGUGUAGUAGUGAAAUGCGUAGAUAUCGGGAGGAACACCAGUGGCGAAGGCGGCCUUCUGGCUCACAACUGACGCUGUAGCGCGAAAGCGUGGGGAGCGAACAGG